rnacentral:rRNA from 1 species
GAUGAACGCUAGCGGCAGGCUUAAUACAUGCAAGUCGUGGGGCAGCAGGGUUGUAGCAAUACAAUCGCUGGCGACCAGCAAACGGGUGCGUAACACGUACGCAAUCUUCCCGUCAUUGUGGCAUAGCCCAGGGAAACUUGGCUUAAUACCACAUACGAUAUUGAAAAGGCAUCUUUUUAAUAUGAAAGCUUCGUCGAUGACGGAUGAGCGUGCGGUUGAUUAGGUAGUUGGCGGGGUAACGGCCCACCAAGCCUACGAUCAAUAGCUGAUGUGAGAGCAUGAUCAGCCACACGGGCACUGAGACACGGGCCCGACUCCUACGGGAGGCAGCAGUAAGGAAUAUUGGUCAAUGGAGGCAACUCUGAACCAGCCAUGCCGCGUGCAGGAAGACGGCCCUAUGGGUUGUAAACUGCUUUUGUACCAGAGAAAACCUAUCUACGUGUAGAUAGCUGAUAGUAUGGUAAGAAUAAGCAUCGGCUAACUUCGUGCCAGCAGCCGCCGUAACAC